rnacentral:rRNA from 1 species
AACGAACGCUGGCGGCAGGCCUAACACAUGCAAGUCGAGCGCCCUUUCGGGGGAGCGGCGGACGGGUGAGUAACGCGUGGGAAUAUGCCCUUCUCUACGGAAUAGCCUCGGGAAACUGAGAGUAAUACCGUAUACGCCCUGUGGGGGAAAGAUUUAUCGGGGAAGGAUUAGCCCGCGUUGGAUUAGGUAGUUGGUGGGGUAAUGGCCUACCAAGCCGACGAUCCAUAGCUGGUUUGAGAGGACGAUCAGCCACACUGGGACUGAGACACGGCCCAGACUCCUACGGGAGGCAGCAGUGGGGAAUCUUAGACAAUGGGGGCAACCCUGAUCUAGCCAUGCCGCGUGAGUGAUGAAGGCCUUAGGGUUGUAAAGCUCUUUCAGCUGGGAAGAUAAUGACGGUACCAGCAGAAGAAGCCCCGGCUAACUCCGUG